AAAUAAAAAUAAAAAAGCACGUAGUUUACCAACUGAUCACGACUGUACUGCAGCAAACUGACGAACCCGGAAAAUAAAAACAAAAACAUCCAACCUAAGCUUCUGGCAAAAACUGAAACAGGCAAUAUUAAUAAAACGCAGAAAAGCAAUAAUGAGUCAGCCCAGUAGAUCUGGUCCUGUAUCCAAAGUGGAGCUGAGAGUGGAAUGUACUGGACUGAAGAAAAAGGAUGAAUUCUCCAAAUCUGACCCAUGUGCCGUUUUGUACAUGCAGCAAAGGGGAACUAACUCCUGGAGUGAGAUGGGAAGAACUGAGCAGAUUAAGAACAACCAUAAUCCCAAGUUUGUCACACCCUUCACGGUGGACUAUUUCUUUGAAGAAAUUCAGAAGGUGAAAAUUGAAGUCUACGACUUGGACAAUGCGACCAGCAAAUUGACCGAUGACGACUUUCUUGGAAAAGUGGAAUGCAACCUGGCACAGAUUGUUUCACGCAAUCCAUUUUCUGCUCCUUUGGAAAAGACAGAUGGAAAACCAAUUGGAGGUUCCCUAAUUUAUGUAAGGUCUGAAGAAGUGAGAGAAGGAGGUGAGAUGGUCUUUCUCCACAUUGGAGCCACAAAAGUAGACAACAAGGAUUUCAUGGGGAAGUCGGACCCAUUCCUAGAGAUAUCCAGACAAGCAUCGGAUGGGAGCUGGCAGGUGGUACAUAGAACAGAGGUUUGCAAGAAUACACUAAACCCAGUGUGGAGACCAUUUCAAGUGGCAGUUCAAGCUUUGUGUGGAGGAAACAAGACCCAGCAGAUUCAGUUCAGCUGCAGUGACCAUGAUAGUGAUGGAUCCCAUGAUUUGAUUGGCUCCUUUACAACUACUAUUGCAGAAUUGGAGCAAGCUGCAGCAACUGGAAAAGAGCUACAAUUUCCAUUUAUCAAUCCAAAAAAGAGCUACAAGAAAAGCAAAACAAACUCUGGAGUGGCUCACAUGACAGAAGUCAGGAUUUUCAGACAGCCAAACUUUUUGGAGUUCAUUUAUGGAGGCAUGCAGAUAAAUUUCACAGCAAGUGUCGAUUUUACGGGAUCUAAUGGCGAACCCUCCAGACCAGAUUCUCUUCAUUACAUUGAUCCCUCGGGUCAAAGGCCGAACCAGUAUAUGCAUGCUAUCCAGGCUGUAGGAUCAGUCUGCCAGGAAUAUGACACUGACAAACUUUUCCCAGCAUUGGGCUUUGGAGCAAAGCUUCCAGAUGGAAAUAUUUCAAUGGAGUUUGCUUUAAAUUUCAACCCAGCAAAUCCAUAUUGUGCAGGAAUAAAUGGUGUGGUUGAGGCUUACAAGUAUGCAAUUCAGAAUGUACAACUAUGGGGUCCCACCAAUGUGGCUCCCAUCAUCUACCAUGUGGCCAGAUUUGCUGAGCAGGCCCAGAAAGAAGAGGCUGAAAAAGGGGCACAUGCCUACUAUGUGCUGCUUCUUCUGACUGAUGGCAUCAUCACAGACAUGGACCAGACUCGGGACGCCAUUGUCUAUGCCUCGGGUCUGCCCAUGUCCCUCAUUAUUGUAGGGGUGGGGGAGGCAGACUUCAGCGACAUGAACUUCUUGGACGGGGAUAAUGGAGUCCUGAAGGGGGCCAAUGGUAGACCUGCUCUGAGAGACAUCGUCCAGUUUGUGCCCUUUAGGGAUUAUCGGUCUUCUGCAUUUGCUGGAGCGGAUUUGGCCCGACAAGUUUUGGCGGAAGUUCCACAGCAAGUGGUCAACUAUUUUACAAUGAGACGCAUCACUCCAAACCAACGACAAAAUACAGCUGUUGAUCCCAACCAACAACUUGCUUAAGAAUUCUCAUGAUCUUGCAUUUACAAAUCUACAUGUGUAUAACUCUCGAUAAAUUUUUUUUGCUACAUUUUUAAAAUAUGGACUGUUUGUUGAAUUUAACAGAUUUUGUUCUUUAAUUUAUUAAUUUUCAGUACAUGUAGUCUGUUAGUACAAGUAUAUUUGUACACAGCCUGUUUAUUUGAAAUGAUAUGAUCAAUACUUUAUGUGCAAUACUUUAUACAUUUUGGUGCUUUCCUUUUUUAUAAGGGGUUAACAUUCAUUCUGUUCAAGAACAUAAAGCAAUGAAA
rnacentral:misc_RNA from 1 species